rnacentral:rRNA from 1 species
UAACGCGUAGGUAACCUGCCUGGUAGCGGGGGGUAACUAUUGGAAACGAUAGCUAAUACCGCAUAAGAACAUUUACUGCAUGGUAGAUGUUUAAAAGGUGCAAAAGCAUCACUACCAGAUGGACCUGCGUUGUAUUAGCUAGUUGGUGAGGUAACGGCUCACCAAGGCAACGAUACAUAGCCGACCUGAGAGGGUGAUCGGCCACACUGGGACUGAGACACGGCCCAG